CAGGGAGGUUGGCUACAGUCCCAUGGACCUUAAACUUCUUAAUAAUAUUUGCAACUGUAGUCACAGGAACAUCAAGCUGCUUGGAGAUGGUCUUAUAGCCUAUGCCUUUAACAUGCUUGUCUAUAAUUUUCUUUCUGAUCUCCUCAGACAACAGUCUCCACUGCUUUCUCUGGUCCAUGUUCAUUGUGGUACAUACGAUGAUACCAAACAGCAGAAGGGCCGAGGAUGGAGCUGGUGGUGUACAUGAAGAAGAGACGCAGGUAGCUGAGCACGUUAGCGAAGGCGAAAAGUCCCUCCGCCACCAGGAUGGGGUGAGAGGCGUCCCAGUCUUUCCGAGCAAGCUGAGGAGAAAAGAAAGGCAUUACUACAGACUUGAUUGAGCGCCGUGUUUCCUCUGAAACGCAACAUUCCUGAUCAGGGUUAACAGCACGGACUGCACAGCUGAUUCUACUGGCGAGGAUGAAUGAGGCAAGCUACACUUGUGGUAUCCUUAAUGGCACAUCUUUUAUACCUGUACGUAUUGAACAUACGUUUGUACGUAUGUUUCACAUAGAAUAAAUGAAUUGUAACAUUUGGCGAUAUGAUGUAGAGUCAGGAAUGGAAUUGCUAACGACUUCUACGUACCUAAACAGACAUCACAUUCGUUCUAAUACAUUAUCACUUCCAUAGCAACAACUUAUACGGGGAGGGGCUUGUAUAACAGAUGCUCUGCAUAAACCGAUUUAAAAAAAAAAACGUGUGCACUCAUUGAUAAUGUGAAGUUUUCUUUAAAGAGAUGUUUAUUUAGCAUUUUUGGAAGGAGCAUCCAGAGUUACCGCUUUGUAAAAGGCAGAAAGGUAAAGCGGUAACUUUAAGCUUCUGGAGAAGAUUUGAGGAUGGAGGAGGUUGAGGUUUAUCUGCAACACGUCAAGCUGAUGUGUUUUUCGCAUUAACUUCAAAGGCUGGCGAAAACAAACUAAGCUGUUUCAUAGACAACAAUAAAUGUAGCUACAGACGGAUAAAAUGUACAACACGUCGCUCUUUAAUAGAUAAAAAAUUGUAACCGUUGGCAAAUUGUUGUGGUGUAAUAGGUAUAAAACACUUCGGGACGUGCUGUUAUAAGAAAAUAUAAAAACAACUGCAAGGUAAUACCGCUUCAUCACACCACUGAUGAUGUUCCCAUAACAGCACAAAACAAAGUGUUUUAUUCCUGUACAUAGUGUAAAUACUGCUAGUGUAGAUGUGUAGAACACCAGCAAGCUUUCUUUACACCACAAUGCUGAACAGGAAAAGGCACACGUGGCAUGUGGAAGCAGGAGCACACCAGCAGAUUCACUGUGAGAUUGAGUGAUGCUACUGUACAUUACGUGCCAGAGCUGCACUGCAGAGGUUUGUGAGUAAUGUACAGAGGAUUAAAGGUUUCAGUCACAGCAGCCAUUCUCGCACUAAAGCCUAAUCCACUAUUCCACCUUCCAUAUGUCUGAGAGAGCAGAGAGAGAAAAUCAUUUCAAUGGUUAUGUACAUACAUGUUGCAGAAAAAUCCUCAACUCUAUU